UACCUACGGGAGGCAGCAGUGGGGGAUAUUGCACAAUGGGGGGAACCCUGAUGCAGCGACGCCGCGUGGGUGAAGAAGCGCCUCGGCGCGUAAAGCCCUGUCAGCAGGGAAGAAGAAAUGACGGUACCUGAGUAAGAAGCACCGGCUAAAUACGUGCCAGCAGCCGCGGUAAUACGUAUGGUGCAAGCGUUAUCCGGAUUUACUGGGUGUAAAGGGAGCGCAGGCGGCACGGCAAGCCUGAUGUGAAAGCCCGCGGCCCAACCGCGGGACUGCAUUGGGAACUACCGGGCUGGAGUGCCGGAGAG
rnacentral:rRNA from 1 species